GACGAACGCUGGCGGCGUGCCUAAUACAUGCAAGUAGAACGCUGAAGAGAGGAGCUUGCUCUUCUUGGAUGAGUUGCGAACGGGUGAGUAACGCGUAGGUAACCUGCCUUGUAGCGGGGGAUAACUAUUGGAAACGAUAGCUAAUACCGCAUAACAAUGGAUGACACAUGUCAUUUAUUUGAAAGGGGCAAUUGCUCCACUACAGGAUGGACCUGCGUUGUAUUAGCUAGUAGGUGAGGUAAUGGCUCACCUAGGCGACGAUACAUAGCCGACCUGAGAGGGUGAUCGGCCACACUGGGACUGAGACACGGCCCAGACUCCUACGGGAGGCAGCAGUAGGGAAUCUUCGGCAAUGGGGGCAACCCUGACCGAGCAACGCCGCGUGAGUGAAGAAGGUUUUCGGAUCGUAAAGCUCUGUUGUAAGUCAAGAACGGGUGUGAGAGUGGAAAGUUCACACUGUGACGGUAGCUUACCAGAAAGGGACGGCUAACUACGUG
rnacentral:rRNA from 1 species